rnacentral:misc_RNA from 1 species
CUAUAGCUUUGGCUAAAAGCAUGUAAAUAUUUGGCUGAAAUAGUGACCAAACCAAAACUUUAUACUUUUCGAGACAUUUAACAUUUUAAAGCAUUUAGAAAUACGAACUAUAGUGAACUUUUAUAUGCUUAUGAAUGAGAGAAAAGUAAAGUGUGCACGCAUAAAUUAUAAAACGGAUUUAGCACAAUUUUAUUAAUUAAACUUUGGUGCCUGCAAUUGCUCGGGUUGCUGUGUUGUGUUAAAAUACGUCAACGUGCUCUGCUCGACGUGUAGUCCCUCUGCCGCUUCUAGUUUUCGACGCGUUGCUCUUCUUAUCAACAGUAGUAUUUAGCAGAAUUUUACAACGGCGUUGAUGUUGUUUAAUUUCGUUUAGAUUUUUUUGUUCCAGUAGAAAAGCAACCAAAACAUCCUAGAGGAUUUGAUGAACGAGAUUUUCAUAAUUAAAAUUGAGAAAAUUAAAUUUUUAAUAGGUGUGUGUUUGUUGGCGAAGAGACUCACUCCGAGAAAAAAGGCGUACUUGCAUCCUGAACAUGGCAUUUGGGCGCGACUAAAUCACGGUUCUGACGCUAACACGUAACAAAUGAUCAACAAUAGCACGCACCAAGCAUUCAUCCGUAUAUGCAAAUAAUAGAAUACAAAUAAAAGCUUAAUCAACAACUUCCUCUGCUGCAGAGCUAUUUGAAGACGCGCAGCGACUGCGACUAGGGCAAGCCAAUAACAAAAUACAAAGAAAAGAGUACUAAACGAGCGUACGCACAGAAAGCAACACUGGCAAUCAUACAAAAUUGCCCUACCUACAGCAAAAGCAACAAGAUAGCACAAAGCGAAUAGCUUGUAGAUUUAAUAUUGACCAUGCUUUUUUUCUCAUAAAGGCAUUAUCAUUUUUCCUAGUCAAUGAGAAGUUAACUCUGUAAAUUUAAGAACCAGCGGCAAAUUAUUAAUAUAAUAAUAUUGUACAUUUAUCUCAAAUAAGCAAUAUACCAGGGCGCGAAUUUGGCAUCCCCGCAGGACGGUAAGAUUUUUAAAAAUUGCAACGCAGCACUGCAACCCGAUCUUCGCGUCGCAGUCAACGUCGCAGCAGCGUUGCCAUUGCUGCUGCCAUAAUUUUUUGUUCGUUUUAAUCCGUCCGCGGUUCAGAGGAGUGGAGCGAGACAUUUUCAAAAGCAUCCAGAAUCCUUCCGGAUAUAAAACGCAAAAUCUUCCAAAACUGAGUGAUUAAAAAUUCAUUUAUUCAAUACAUAUUAGUGAAACUCUCACGCGAAAAGAAUAUUAACAAUUACGUCAACGUGUGGCAAUAGACUAUUCUCCAACCGUCUGAAGAAAAAUACUUGGUGGAUGUGUUAAAGAAUACAUUUAUAAAAAAAAAACUUAAAUUUUGAUUAACCUGGAUCAGACUUGGUGCAGUCAUUACCUAGUUUACAAGUUCACAGCAGAGUCGUCAACUUGUUCAACUGCCGGAUUAGAUAUUGUUGGUGCAGUUACUGCGCCAGCAAAUAUCUCGGGGGCUAUCUGAAAAGAAAAUUACAUUUUAUUCCUUUUAUUAUGAAUAAUAACAUUACAUCAACACCACCAAGUGGUUCGGCUGUUUUACCAGUUCAGCAUCAGAAUCUGCAUCAGACGCAACAAGCGUAUGCUUCGCAUUUUAGUGGGAACUCGGUGCUUCAGUUAUUACCAUUGCAAAUAAAUGGAUCUGGAAUAAUAGCUGGCAGUAUGAAUGUAGCCGGUGCAAAUAAUAGCGGUACAAGGAUUGCAAACCCCACCACCUGCAAUGUUGUAACAACUAAUGCAAACAAUAGCAGCACUUUAACUCUUAUACCACAGCUUUCAUUUAUUUCAUCAGGUGUUGCUCCUGCACCACUUUCUGCCAAUGUUGGCGAUUUAAGUACAAUGCAACAGUCGACAACAUCUGUUUCGCCUAUGAUCAGCGUAAUUUCCAGUUCCCAUAAUAGCCAACCUAAUACAACCAGCUUCCUAAUACCAACUGGUAUUCAAAAUAACUCUAUCUCAUCGGGAUGUGGAACUGCUGUGCCAAUUAAUGUCAUUCUAACUGGAACAAGUGGUAAUGUAAUCUCAGCCGGCAACAAUAAUACAGUCUUUACUACGGGAGUAGCCGGAGGCCCACAAGUGGAUAUACAACCUAAUUCGAGUAAGUUUCAUAGAACUUUUGUUUUAUUAAGUGAAAGUUAUGAAUUUAAGUAUUUGGAUAAAGACC